AGCUCCAAUAGCGUAUAUUAAAGUUGUUGCGGUUAAAAAGCUCGUAGUUGGAUUUCUGUUGAAGAGGGCCGGUCCGUACUAUGUGCGUGCAUCUGGUUUCGCUUCGGCAUCCUCCCAAAAACGUUUCUGCGCUUGAUUGCGUGGAGCGGAGUUUGGGACUUUUACUUUGAGGAAAUUAGAGUGUUCACGGCAGGCAAUCGCCAUGAAUAUAUUAGCAUGGAAUAAUACUAUAGGAUCUUGGUUCUAUUUUGUUGGUUUCUAGAGCUAAGAUAAUGAUUAAUAGGGACAAUUGGGGGCAUUCGUAUUGCGGUGUCAGAGGUGGAAUUCUUGGAUUACUGCACGACGAACUACUGCGAAAGCAUUUGCCAAGGAUGUUUUCA
rnacentral:rRNA from 1 species